rnacentral:rRNA from 3 species
GGUUAAGCGACUAAGCGUACACGGUGGAUGCCCUGGCAGUCAGAGGCGAUGAAGGACGUGCUAAUCUGCGAUAAGCGCCGGUAAGGUGAUAUGAACCGUUAUAACCGGCGAUUUCCGAAUGGGGAAACCCAGUGUGAUUCGUCACACUAUCAUUAACUGAAUCCAUAGGUUAAUGAGGCGAACCGGGGGAACUGAAACAUCUAAG